CCCUUAGAUGUUCUGGGCCGCACGCGCGCUACACUGAUGCAUUCAACGAGCCUAUCCUUGACCGACAGGUCCGGGUAAUCUUUGAAUCUGCAUCGUGACGGGGAUAGAUUAUUGCAAUUAUUAAUCUUCAACGAGGAAUGCCUAGUAGGCGCAAGCCAUCAGCUUGCGUCGAUUACGUCCCUGCCCUUUGUACACACCGCCCGUCGCUCCUACCGAUUGGGUGUGCUGGUGAAAUGUUCGGAUCGGCCGUUUGUCGCGGUUUCCGCGGCUCGUGGCUGAGAAGUUCAUUAAACCCUCCCACCUAGAGGAAGGAGAAGUCGUAACA
rnacentral:rRNA from 1 species